GCUGGAGUGCAGUGGCGUGAUCUCGGCUCACUGCAACCUGCACCUCCCGGGCUCAAGCGAUUCUCCUGCCUUAACCUCCAAAUAUCAUAGUAUCAUGAGGUUAUGAAGACAUGUUGCCUGCGCCAGAUAGCAAUACUGGCUGUAGUUCUAAAAAUAAAGAUCUAUUUGAAGAAUUCAGAGAAUCUAUGGAAGAUGGCUCAGCUUGCUGUGAAGCAAAGAAACCAGGGACCUUCUCCAGAACCUCUGAAGUUGAUGUUAGGUCCAGCUAAUGUUUGUCCUCUAAAAAGAAUACUUAACUGUUGAUCAGUUGUUCUGCUGUUGGCAGCUGCCUUCUCAGAUGGGCUCCGUGCUAAACAACUCUCUGCUGCUUCACUACAUUAACUGUGUCAGAGAUGAGCCAGUCUUGCUAAGGUCUUAUUAGUGAUUGAGUCAAACAUUACAAGAAGCUGGAUGCUUGUAUUUACUGUUUCUGCUCUAGAAUGUAUUUGGUGCAAGGUGAAUAAUUAUGAACAUGGAAAAGAAUUUACCAACUUUCUGGAUACUAUCAUCAGGGCAGAGUCCUUCUUACAAGAGGGGUUUCAUUCCUGUGAAGCAUUCCUGUAUAAGAGCCUUCCUCUCUGGGACGGCCUCUGUUGUCGGUCACAGUUCCUUCAGCUUGUGAGAUGGAUUCCUUUUAGUAGCUACGCUGAGGUGAAACCACUUCUUUUUGAUCGUCCAGCACAGCCCUUCUUUACAUCAGCCAUUUAUUUCAAGAGAGACAACCUUGGGUGGAUCCAUGAACUCUGUGUCUAAACUGCUCCACUGUGUAGGGUGGCUAUCCACUACUGCAGUGUGCUUGGAGAGCAGCAGUACUUUCUUGAUGCACUGUAUGUUGGAUUUCUAUGAGAAGCUCGUACACAUUACAUUUGGAUUUUUGUGAAAGCUGUC